CCUACGGGAGGCAGCAGUGGGGAAUAUUGGACAAUGGGGGCAACCCUGAUCCAGCCAUGCCGCGUGUGUGAAGAAGGCCCUCGGGUUGUAAAGCACUUUCAGUGAGGAAGAACGCCUGGUGGUUAAUACCCAUCAGGAAAGACAUCACUCACAGAAGAAGCACCGGCUAACUCCGUGCCAGCAGCCGCGGUAAUACGGAGGGUGCGAGCGUUAAUCGGAAUUACUGGGCGUAAAGCGCGCGUAGGUGGCUUGAUAAGCCGGUUGUGAAAGCCCCGGGCUCAACCUGGGAACGGCAUCCGGAACUGUCAAGCUAGAGUGCAGGGGAGGAAGGUAGAAUUCCCGGUGUAGCGGUGAAAUGCGUAGAGAUCGGGAGGAAUACCAGUGGCGAAGGCGGCCUUCUGGACUGACACUGACACUGAGGUGCGAAAGCGUGGGUAGCAAACAGGAUUAGAUACCCUUGUAGUC
rnacentral:rRNA from 1 species